rfam:Asian citrus Psyllid, Diaphorina citri - Florida Strain, whole genome shotgun sequence.
CCUCUUCUCCUCGUGUUCACUGUGUGGCCUCUUAUGUUUUGUUUGAAAGUUCAUAAGGCACGCGGUGAAUGCCAAGAGCGGAUCC